AUAAAAUUUUUUUUAAAUAGUAUCGGAUGAAAAUAAGUUUAACUGGCGGUCUUUCGAGUAUUACGAGAUAUAUUUGUCGCAAAACGCUCAAGAGUGGGCUUACUAAGUUUGAGCACGCAGGGCUGAGCUGGAUUCUCCUUCACGCAUUCCACGAAUCGUUGCGUGCGUGCUGCUAAUCCGAAUCAUCGACACGGGAUGUUUUUCUCUCGAUAAUUGAAAAUAAUCGAGAAGCGAUACGUAUCAAGUGUAUAUAUAUCAAUACGAGAGAAUGUGCGUCAGAUAUUAGUGAGUCAUUCGUGACGAAAUAAAGGUGUUGGUUUCUACGUACUACGUACGGUGAAGAUGAGAGAGGGGAGUAGUCGAUGAGAUGUGUUAUUGCGCGCGUCGCAUCUGGUCACAUCGGGAAGCAUUCUGUGGUGAGACAGAUAGUUCCGCUUCUCUCUCUCUCUCUCUCUCUCUCUCUCUCUCCCCCUUCCUCUUUAUCCCCUCCUCCACCCUUUUCUCUUUCUCUCUCUUGUUUAAUUCGCGUGACACAAAGCGCGAAGAAUAAGGUAACCAAGUUAUCGUUAAGUCUAUC